rnacentral:rRNA from 1 species
AUUGAACGCUGGCGGCAGGCUUAACACAUGCAAGUCGAGCGGGGAAGUGUAGCUUGCUCCAUUACCUAGCGGCGGACGGGUGAGUAAUGCUUAGGAAUCUGCCUAUUAGUGGGGGACAACAUUCCGAAAGGAAUGCUAAUACCGCAUACGUCCUACGGGAGAAAGCAGGGGAUCUUCGGACCUUGCGCUAAUAGAUGAGCCUAAGUCGGAUUAGCUAGUUGGUGGGGUAAAGGCCUACCAAGGCGACGAUCUGUAGCGGGUCUGAGAGGAUGAUCCGCCACACUGGGACUGAGACACGGCCCAGACUCCUACGGGAGGCAGCAGUGGGGAAUAUUGGACAAUGGGCGGAAGCCUGAUCCAGCCAUGCCGCGUGUGUGAAGAAGGCCUUUUGGUUGUAAAGCACUUUAAGCGAGGAGGAGGCUACUCUAGUUAAUACCUAGGGAUAGUGGACGUUACUCGCAGAAUAAGCACCGGCUAACUCUGUG